GCAUGUCCAGGUAGAUGACUCUUCAUUUGCAAACUGCAAAAUCUAUAGGCAACUCACCAUGUCAUCCCAGGCACUGUUCCUGCUUGUGCUUCUCAGUUACUGCUCAGGUGUGAUGGCACAGCCGACACUGACUCAGCCGGCCUCCCAGGCUGCAUCUCCAGGAGAAACAGCCAAACUCUCCUGCACCAUCAGCAGUAAUCCGAGCACCAUCGGCUGGGUUCAACAGAAAGCUGGGCAAGCCCCCCACUUUGUGCACUGUGAUGGCUGCAGCAGCAGGGGCCCAGGGAUCCCCAACCGGUUUACGGCUUCCCGCUCAGGCAAUAUGGGCUACUUAACCAUCUCAAGCCUUCAGGCCGAGGAUGAGGCUGAUUAUUACUGUUACAUGUGGUACAGCAGUGGGAGAGUGUUCCACGAUGGUUCAGUUGAAUGGGGAACUGAGACAAAAACCUCAUCUCUUCUCGAGGAUAUGCAGCCGUGUUUCUCUGCAAAGCUUAGCUUCACCUGUGUGUGA